rnacentral:tRNA from 1 species
AAAAAGCUUCUAACUUUUAAAAAAGCAUUAAUUUGUUUAU